UGGAUCAUUGAUGACUACUGGUGGUGCAUGAGCCCUAUACGAUGAAUAUGUGUCAUAUUCUGAGGUCCAA